GGUGAAGAGGAGCUUGCUUCUUGGAUCAGUGGCGAACGGGUGAGUAACACGUGAGUAACCUGCCCCAAACUCUGGGAUAAGCACUGGAAACGGUGUCUAAUACCGGAUACGAGCUUCAGCCGCAUGGCUAGGAGUUGGAAAGAAUUUCGGUUUGGGAUGGACUCGCGGCCUAUCAGCUUGUUGGUGAGGUAAUAGCUCACCAAGGCGACGACGGGUAGCCGGCCUGAGAGGGUGACCGGCCACACUGGGACUGAGACACGGCCCAGACUCCUACGGGAGGCAGCAGUGGGGAAUAUUGCACAAUGGGCGAAAGCCUGAUGCAGCAACGCCGCGUGAGGGACGACGGCCUUCGGGUUGUAAACCUCUUUUAGUAGGGAAGAAGCGAAAGUGACGGUACCUGCAGAAAAAGCACCGGCUAACUACGUGCCAGCAGCCGCGGUAAUACGUAGGGUGCAAGCGUUGUCCGGAAUUAUUGGGCGUAAAGAGCUCGUAGGCGGUUUGUCGCGUCUGCUGUGAAAACCCGAGGCUCAACCUCGGGCCUGCAGUGGGUACGGGCAGACUAGAGUGCGGUAGGGGAGAUUGGAAUUCCUGGUGUAGCGGUGGAAUGCGCAGAUAUCAGGAGGAACACCAAUGGCGAAGGCAGAUCUCUGGGCCGUAACUGACGCUGAGGAGCGAAAGCAUGGGGAGCGAACAGGAUUAGAUACCCUGGUAGUCCAUGCCGUAAACGUUGGGAACUAGAUGUGGGGACCAUUCCACGGUCUCCGUGUCGCAGCUAACGCAUUAAGUUCCCCGCCUGGGGAGUACGGCCGCAAGGCUAAAACUCAAAGGAAUUGACGGGGGCCCGCACAAGCGGCGGAGCAUGCGGAUUAAUUCGAUGCAACGCGAAGAACCUUACCAAGGCUUGACAUAUAGAGGAAACGGCUGGAAACAGUCGCCCCGCAAGGUCUCUAUACAGGUGGUGCAUGGUUGUCGUCAGCUCGUGUCGUGAGAUGUUGGGUUAAGUCCCGCAACGAGCGCAACCCUCGUCCUAUGUUGCCAGCACGUAAUGGUGGGAACUCAUGGGAUACUGCCGGGGUCAACUCGGAGGAAGGUGGGGAUGACGUCAAAUCAUCAUGCCCCUUAUGUUUUGGGCUUCACGCAUGCUACAAUGGCCGGUACAAAGGGCUGCAAUACCGCAAGCUGGAGCGAAUCCCAAAAAGCCGGUCUCAGUUCGGAUUGAGGUCUGCAACUCGACCUCAUGAAGUAGGAGUCCCUAGUAAUCGCAGAUCAGCAACGCCGCGGUGAAUACGUUCCCGGGCCUUGUACACACCGCCCGUCAAGUCAUGAAAGUCGGUAACACCCGAAGCCAGGGCCAAAUCCGCAAGGGAGGAGCUGUCGAA
rnacentral:rRNA from 1 species